rnacentral:ncRNA from 1 species
UUAAAUAACGAAAGACAAUGAGAACAAUGUUAGUAAAUACAUAUUGGUGGUGGCGCCCGUUACAACUCCGACAGUCGUAAGGGAGCAGCGCUCGUAUGUAUAUACCUCAU